rnacentral:rRNA from 1 species
CCUACGGGAGGCUGCAGUGGGGAAUAUUGGGCAAUGGGCGCAAGCCUGACCCAGCAACGCCGCGUGAAGGAAGAAGGCUUUCGGGUUGUAAACUUCUUUUUUCAGGGACGAAGCAAGUGACGGUACCUGACGAAUAAGCCACGGCUAACUACGUGCCAGCAGCAGCGGUAAUACGUAGGUGGCAAGCGUUAUCCGGAUUUACUGGGUGUACAGGGCGUGUAGGCGGGACUGCAAGUCAGAUGUGAAAACCACGGGCUCAACCUGUGGCCUGCAGUUGAAACUGUAGUUCUUGAGUACUGGAGAGGCAGACGGAAUUCCUAGUGUAGCGGUGAAAGGCGUAGAUAUUAGGAGGAACACCAGUGGCGAAGGCGGUCUGCUGGACAGCAACUGACGCUGAGGCGCGAAAGCGUGGGGAGCAAACAGGAGUAGAUACCCCAGUAGUC